UUGAACGCUGGUGGCAUGCUUAACACAUGCAAGUCGAACGGUAGCAGACCUAGCUUGCUAGGUGCUGACGAGUGGCGGACGGGUGAGUAACGCGUAGGAAUCUGCCUUGCAGUGGGGGAUAACACUAGGAAACUGGUGCUAAUACCGCAUACGCCCUUAGGGGGAAAGAUUUAUUGCUGCAAGAUGAGCCUGCGUCAGAUUAGCUAGUUGGUGGGGUAAAGGCCUACCAAGGCGAAGAUCUGUAGCUGUUCUGAGAGGAAGAUCAGCCACACUGGGACUGAGACACGGCCCAGACUCCUACGGGAGGCAGCAGUGGGGGAUAUUGGACAAUGGGGGCAACCCUGAUCCAGCAAUGCCACGUGUGUGAAGAAGGCCUGCGGGUUGUAAAGCACUUUCAGAAGGGAAGAAGGACACGCAAGUGUUUUGACAUUACUUUCAGAAGAAGCACCGGCUAACUCUGUGCCAGCAG
rnacentral:rRNA from 1 species